rnacentral:rRNA from 1 species
GACAGAGGCCUCAAGCGUUAGGCGGAAUCACUGGGCUUAAAGCGUGUGUAGGCGGAUCGUUAAGUGUCUUGUGAAAUCCCACGGCUCACCCGUGGAACUGCUGGGCAUACUGGCGAUCCUGGGCCAACUAGGGGCAGCCGGAACAAGCGGUGGAGCGGUGAAAUGCGUAGAUAUCGCUUGGAACGCCGAAGGUGAAAACAGGCUGCUGGGGUUGCGCCGACGCUGAGACACGAAAGCCAGGGGAGCAAACGGG